UUCUCUUCCUCACUUACCCCCACUGCGUGGUGCCCUAACCUAGAACCAGAUCCCAUCUCACCUUUCUCUUCUCUCGCCACUCUCUCCCUCAAGCUCGUUGCCGCCUCAAGCUCACGUCGCCGCCUCAAGCUCGUCAUAAGCCCUGUCAUGCUAAGCUCGUCUUCCUGCUUCGGCCAUUAACGCUUCCUCCGCCGUGAGUCUGGGUUUAGGGUUUUAGCUUCAGCCCAGGUAUUUCAUCAAUGCUUGCUUCGUCUCUCUGCCCAGAGGAAUAUUUAAUUCAACACAGGACUAUGCUUCUUCAUUCGAUGGAGAUGGCCAUGGCACGCAUACAGCAGCAGGAAACCAUGAAAUUCCGGUGAUUGUUACUGGGCAUCACCUUGGGAAUGCUAGUGGGAUGGCUCCUUGUUCACAGUAAACCACUAAACCAUGAGUUUUUGUUGGCAUAUAGUGUCAAGUUUGCAAUAGGACCAUAUAUUUAUUACUUGUCAAGAAUUGUGAUUCUUUUUAUUAAGCUACGGGUAUUUGAAUAUAAAGCUUGGUUAGAGUCAUUAGUAUGCUGAAUAACUAGUAUAAGGAUUCUCUGUGUUCUUGAAGAAUUUGAGCUUUUUAAUAGGAUAAUUGAUGCUGUAAGUUAAAUUUGAUGCUGAACAUAUUAUAAAUGUGGUUGUUGCUGGAAGUAAAAUUUGUUGCUGGAUAAUUG